GACGAACGCUGGCGGCGUGCUUAACACAUGCAAGUCGAACGGAAAGGCCCUGCUUUUGUGGGGUGCUCGAGUGGCGAACGGGUGAGUAACACGUGAGUAACCUGCCCUUGACUUUGGGAUAACUUCAGGAAACUGGGGCUAAUACCGGAUAGGAGCUCCUGCUGCAUGGUGGGGGUUGGAAAGUUUCGGCGGUUGGGGAUGGACUCGCGGCUUAUCAGCUUGUUGGUGGGGUAGUGGCUUACCAAGGCUUUGACGGGUAGCCGGCCUGAGAGGGUGACCGGCCACAUUGGGACUGAGAUACGGCCCAGAAUCCUACGGGAGGCAGCAGUGGGGAAUAUUGCACGAUGGGCGGAAGCCUGAUGCAGCAACGCCGCGUGCGGGAUGACGGCCUUCGGGUUGUAUACCGCUUUCGCCUGUGACGAAGCGUGAGUGACGGUAAUGGGUAAAGAAGCACCGGCUAACUACGUG
rnacentral:rRNA from 1 species